GGGAUAUUGCGCAAUGGAGGGAACUCUGACGCAGCGACGCCGCGUGGGUGAUGAAGGUUUUCGAAUCGUAAAGCCCUUUUCUGCGUGACGAUGAUGACGGUAGCGCAGGAAAAAGUGUCGGCUAACUACGUGCCAGCAGCCGCGGUAAAACGUAGGACGCAAACGUUAUCCGGAAUUACUGGGCGUAAAGGGCGCGCAGGCGGGUUGGUAAGUGAGGCAUGAAAGCUCCCUGGCUAAACCGGGAGAGGAUGUCUGAGACUGCCAGCCUGAAGUGAGGUAGAGGGGUGUGGAAUUCCGCGUGUAGUGGUGGAAUGCGUAGAGAUGCGGAGGAACACCAGUGGCGAAGGCGGCACCCUGGACCUUAACUGACGCUGAGGCGCGAAAGCAUGGGGAGCG
rnacentral:rRNA from 1 species